rnacentral:rRNA from 1 species
AUUGAACGCUGGCGGCAGGCCUAACACAUGCAAGUCGAACGAGUGGCGGACGGGUGAGUAAUGUCUGGGAAACUGCCCGCUGGAGGGGGAUAACUACUGGAAACGGUAGCUAAUACCGCAUACCAUCUGAUGUGCCCAGAUGGGAUUAGCUAGUAGGUGGGGUAACGGCUCACCUAGGCGACAAUCCCUAGCUGGUCUGAGAGGAUGACCAGCCAAACUGGAACUGAGAAACGGUCCAGACUCCUACGGGAGGCAGCAGUGGGGAAUAUUGCACAAUGGGCGCAAGCCGGAGGAAGCCAUGCCGCGUGUAUGAAGAAGGCCUUCGGGUUGUAAAGUACUUUCAGCGAGGAGGCGUUACUCGCAGAAGAAGCACCGGCUAACUCCGUGCCAGCAGCCGCGGUAAUUC